GCCCAGAUAGCUCAGUCGGUAGAGCAGGGGAUUGAAAAUCCCCGUGUCGGCGGUUCGAUUCCGUCCCUGGGCACCA
rnacentral:tRNA from 1 species